rnacentral:tRNA from 1 species
CUGCCCGUAGCUCAACUGGAUAGAGCACCAGCCUUCUAAGCUGGGGGUUGCGUGUUCGAGCCACGCCGGGCAGGCCA